AACGGUCUAUACCUGCGGUACCUGCGGAAGGAUCAUUAAUGAGAAACUGCCCCUCGCGGGUAGAUCUCCCACCCUUUGUAAACUUACCUUUGUUGCUUUGGCAGGCCCGUCUCCGGACCGCCGGCUUCGGCUGGCCAGUGCCUGCCAGAGGAUUCUAAAACUCUGUCUGUCAGUGUUGUCUGAGUCUAUAUACAAUCGUUAAAACUUUUAACAAUGGAUCUCUAGAUCGGAAGAGCACAC
rnacentral:misc_RNA from 1 species